GGGUAUGUGGGCGAUCUGACUGGCUGGCUGUCUUCUUGGUAACUAUGAUUAAUUUGGAACAUCUGACAAGCCACACCAGAAACCCUUUCACCCUCACUGCUGCACUCGCAUUCCUUCCAAAGCUGUGUGCUCUGUGAAGAGAAUGACCUUCCCAGAUAGCUGGAGGAUUAUUCCUAGGUCUAGAAUAUUCUGAAGAGCAGGAAGAAAUAAAAUAAAUCAUCCAUAAUUUCAUCAAAAAUUUU
rnacentral:sRNA from 1 species